UAGGGAAUAUUAGAAAUGGGCGAAAGCCUGAACUAGCAACACCGCGUGUGCGAAGAAGGCCUUCGGGUUGUAAAGCACUUUUUGGGAGGAUGAGGAAGGAAGGUACUCUCAGAAUAAGUCUCGGCUAACUACGUGCCAGCAGCCGCGGUAACACGUAGGAGGCAAACGUUAUCCGGAUUUACUGGGCGUAAAGCGCGUGUAGGUGGUUUGGUAAGUAGGGCGUGAAAGCUCCUGGCUCAACUGGGAGAGGACGUUCUAAACUGCAGAGCUAGAGGAUGGUAGAGGGAGGUGGAAUUCCGGGUGUAGCGGUGGAAUGCGCAGAUAUCCGGAGGAACACCAGUGGCGAAAGCGGCCUCCUGGACCACUCCUGACACUCAGACGCGAAAGCUAGGGUAGCAAACG
rnacentral:rRNA from 1 species